UUUAACAUCUUGAAAUAAUAUACGACGAAAAAACGAUUCGCAUAGAGACUCUCGCUCCGUUUCUUUUCAUCCACUGGAAAAAACUGAAAUAUAGGUAUGAGGUGUAAAAUAAAGAAAAAAAAAAUGAAACGGUGAUUGAUCGUUAUACCGGUAGAAAAAGAGAGAGAAACGCCAGUGAAAUCGAUGAAACACUUUCAAAGAAGUAAUCUUCAUCGUCGCUGAAUAAAGCGAAGAAUAUUAUAUAUCCGUUUUAUUUAUUCCAUUUAUGGGAUAGCGUGAAAUAAACCAACUACAAAGGGAAGAAAAGCGUCGGGUCGGUUUAGUCGAGCUUAGUGUAAGCUGCCUUCGCGAUCUUCCUUUAAAUACAACGUGCACAGUAAUUUCUCGAGUGGAAAAGAACAUAAUAUCGUGACAACUUUCCGUGAUAAAUCGGCCAUCUUUCUUCCGAGAGAAUGAAAAUUUCAAAAUUUCUAAUUAACUUUUAUCCAACAGGAUGAUUUUCCAAAUAUUCUCAUAGAAUAAAACGAUUCCUUAACGAUUUAUUAAUUUUCAUGGAGUUUGAGAAGUUUUACAAAAAUCUUUUCGUAUAUAGUAGAUAGUGUGUCGAGGAAAAGUAGAAAUACAAUAUAUUCGUAAUAUAUUCUUUAAUGAUUUACUUUUGACCGCCUAUAACAUUCGAUUCAAACUGAAAGGAUUAAGGAAUGGUCGCAAGUUUAACGAGGAAUCGGAACGAGAUAUAUCGAGCGGCGCAAUACGGGUUGCAAAAGAAAUAUAGAACAGAAUUUCUCUGGGCGGCGCUUUUACACGGUAAACAGAACCGUUUUGUCGGUUCUUGAUACUGAAACCAAUGUCACCAUUCCUCAUCGUUAAGAUCGCAUCGACCGACAGUGCCAUUUUUAGAAUCGUCUGGCGGCAUUUGGUGAUAUUAUUAAGUGGGGAGUACGAGAUUGGCAAACAGUGUAGCCAGACAUAACAAUAUAGCGUGAUAUAAAGUGUUAUGGUGUAGGAAUAUUAGUAGGAAUAUUAAAUCUGACUGUUAAGUAUAAAAAUAUUAAUGGUGAUGAUUAUUAUAUGAGGAAGAAAUAAUGAAAAAAAAAUGAAACUUGAACGUGUAGUUGAUAA